rnacentral:rRNA from 1 species
UGGCGGACGGGUGGGUAAUGUCUGGGAAACUGCCUGAUGGAGGGGGAUAACUACUGGAAACGGUAGCUAAUACCGCAUAACGUCGCAAGACCAAAGAGGGGGACCUUCGGGCCUCCUGCCAUCGGAUGUGCCCAGAUGGGAUUAGCUAGUAGGUGGGGUAACGGCUCACCUAGGCGACGAUCCCUAGCUGGUCUGAGAGGAUGACCAGCCACACUGGAACUGAGACACGGUCCAG